UGAAUUUUAUUUUGGUGUGUUGUUUUGGAAAAUGAUGAAAAAUUAGUAUGCUUAAUCUAUGAUGGCUUGUCAAGUAGCGAUUUUAUUGAAUUAAAUGGUUGUAGAUUGGACUGUUAUGAGUUGCUUGGGAGUAGAAAAUUCUAUUCUAGUACUGUUAAAAGGGGAAUCAAUUUCUGGGAUAGUGCUUUAUGGGGUAGUUCAUGGUUGUGUUGAUUGGGUUUCAUUAAGUAUGGAAAAGUAAAAAUUUUAGACUGUAUAAAUGGUGCAAGUUUUAAGAAAGAAGUAGAAAAUAAAAGAAAAAAAAAUGGGAGAAGGUGGGCCGUGAGAGGAGGGGAGGUUUAUGUUUCUGGAGUUGAAAAGAAGAGGAGGAAUUUUGGUUUUUUUAAGUGGAGGUGCCACGGAGUUAGGUUUUAGAAAAUUUAAUAUUUGGAAGGCUUUAAUGGUUUGGAUGUAGACAAAAAUGUAAUUAAGUUAAUAUAAUAUAUUAUGUAAUAUAUAUAAGAAAGAGAGAUUUUCGGAUCUUAAUAUUAAU
rnacentral:lncRNA from 1 species